UGAACUCCACUGGCUUCCGCUGCGCUACUCUGAUCCUUCUCUUCUCUUCUCAUCUUUACCAACUGGCUUCUUCUCACUACUAACCCACACUAACUCUAACUCUCACAGGUAGUGGCCGGAUUUCAGACCUAUCUUGGAAAAACAAACAGCUCCUACUAGCUGUCCCAAUAGAUCAUCCAUUCUGCAUGGGAAUACCUGCUCUUGGUAGUGACCUUGUUUAACUGCUUACAGUCG
rnacentral:lncRNA from 1 species